CCUGGCGGCACUAGCGCGGUGGUCCCACCUGACCCCAUGCCGAACUCAGAAGUGAAACGCCGUAGCGCCGAUGGUAGUGUGGGGUCUCCCCAUGCGAGAGUAGGGAAC
rnacentral:rRNA from 22 species